rnacentral:rRNA from 1 species
CUGAUGCAGCGACGCCGCGUGAGGGAUGGAGGCCUUCGGGUUGUAAACCUCUUUCGUCAGGGAACAAGGCACUGUCUUUUUGGUGGUGUUGAGGGUACCUGGAUAAGAAGCGCCGGCUAACUACGUGCCAGCAGCCGCGGUAAUACGUAGGGCGCAAGCGUUGUCCGGAAUUAUUGGGCGUAAAGAGCUCGUAGGCGGCUGGUCGCGUCUGUCGUGAAAACUUCCGGCUCAACCGGGGGCUUGCGGUGGGUACGGGCCGGCUAGAGUGCGGUAGGGGUAACUGGAACUCCUGGUGUAGCGGUGGAAUGCGCAGAUAUCAGGAAGAACACCGAUGGCGAAGGCAGGUUACUGGGCCGUUACUGACGCUGAGGAGCGAAAGCGUGGGGAGCGAACA